AAAAGUGAAUCAUUUUAUUUGGAUCAAAAUCUUUUACAAUGAAGAAGCUAGUAAGGUGAUAAAGUGAGCAAACUACAAAAUCAUUAGAAAUCAGAAACAAUCAUAUAUAUACAAUUUCGCUAGAGAAUUAAGAGGGGUCCAGCGAACUCCUGUUGGAUUGGAUCCCUAAACCUAUUUCACCAUACAAGCAAGAAGCUACAUCUCAAUUUACCCACAGUGAACCAAAUUAAUCCUAGAAAAUCCAACCUUUCACCAUUUGACUGAAGAAUCAUUCAAAAUCCCCCCAAACUGCAGCGCCUCCCUCCCACCUUCGUCGUGCGCCAUUUCUGCCCGCCGUCAACCUAGGUGAGCCGCUCUAUUCCGUUCCAAUUGAGAGACACCACCGAGGUUAGACACUCAGCGAAGCCUGCCACUGCUGCCGCAUUUCGUGGUUGCGGCGCCAUUGAAUCAAAAUCCCCAAACUACAGCGCCUCCCUCCCACCUUCGUCGUGUGCCUUUCUUGCCCGCCGUCAACCUAGGUGAGCCGCUCUAUUCCGUUCCAACAGAGAGACACCACCGGGGUUAGACGCUCAGCGAAGCCCGCCACUGCUGCCACAUGUCGUGGUCGCGGCGCCAUUGAAUCAAAAUCCCCAAACUACUGCGCCUCCCUCCCACCUUUGUCGUGCGCCUUCCCUGCCCGCCGUCAACCCAGGUGAGUCGCUCCGUUCCGAUCCAACUGCAAAACACCGCGGGGGUCAGACGCUCGUCGAAUCCCGCCGUUGCUGCUGCAUGUCGUCGUCGCGGCGCUGUUGAAGCUCAGCCCAGCUUUCCGCGACUGUUACUCGUCAUCGCCGCACCACUGAAGCUCGAAGGUCCCUCGAGUGUUCUGCCCCAACGGACGCCGUGUCAAACUCGUACAGGCGGCGCCGUGAAGCAUCGUCUGAAAGCACUCCUCAGUAGAUUCUUUGCAUGUCUUAAAUCUGGGGCCCUCGCAAACAGAAAGGGGAAAAGUGAAGACUUAAAAGGCCGAUUACCUCAAGCUGUAAGAAAAAAAUUGCCAAAAAACAUAGUGAAAACACGGAGGAAAAGCUUCGAUUCCUCCAAAGGGAAGCUCUGCCGGUAGAGAGAGCGAGCAGGAUUCAAUGGAAAGACAACCACUUAGAAGCACAACAAAGCCACCUCUAAAUAGAAAACGGUCACCGCAUGCAGAGAGAUCGAAAACUAACCUGGAAGUGAGUAUAUGUUUCUGAUUGUGUAUGGAUUUAAUUCUGUACAAGCUCAAGUAUUUUCAGAUGUUCUUUUUCAAUGCAAUUAGAUGUUUCUUUAAAUGACACAUUCGAUGUGAAUAAAAUGGAUAAGUCUAUCAGCAACUAAAAGAAAGGGGGGAGUUAAAAGAGACCAAACAUGUAAGUCCAAUGCAAAAUUAUCUGCAGAAAAAGCUACCCUAAUGAGACCAAAGGAUAAUGAGGAUAAUGAGCUUCUUGCUAAGAGGAUGCGCUGAAUGUUUCACCAGGCAGUUGACCAACAGAAUAAAAGAAUGGAGACUGCCCAUGGGAACAACCUCAAUCAGGAAAACACACCUCAGGAAACAACUGACUCCAGAGUUCCCGAUCCAGGCAUGCUCUCAAUAGCACUAGUGCAACAUGAAGAAUGGGAAUUCGAUGGGAAAGUUUCUCAAUACAGCUGUCCUAUGGCAACAGAAUCAGACAGGAUGGAGUUUAGGAGAUAUUUCAUACUAGUGGUACUAAAAAUGUUCUUGUGCCCUAUAAUACAACAGGUAAUUUCGCCAUGGCACAUUUAUCCCGUUCUGGAUGUUUCUGAUCCUAGAAGAUUCAACUGGCCGUUGCAUAAUCUAAAGUGGCUGGACAAGGCAGUAGAGAAAUAUAAGCUCAAAGGGAACAAAACCUGUGAGGGAUGCAUGUUUGUCGUGCUAGUCGGAUGCAUUCAAUGAGUAUUAGUAAACUGAGCAUAUCUUUUAUGUUGUAGAGCAUAAGUUGUCCCCUUCUUCUGUCUAGGUACUGUAUUUUCAACGGUUGAAACACAAUCAGCUGGAUAACUGUCAUGAGCCAAAACCAUGGCUCGCUGCGUGGACCACAGAAAAUCUAGAAAAGAAGUCGACAUAUAUCCUUUUCGAGAUUCUUUGCAUGUCUUAAAUCUGGGGCCCUCGCAAACAGAAAGGGGAAAAGUGAAGACUUAAAAGGCCGAUUACCUCAAGCUGUAAGAAAAAAGCUGCCAAAAAACAUAGCGAAAACACGGAGGUAAAGCUUCGAUUCCUCCAAGGGGAAUCUCUGCCUGUAGAGAGAGCGAGUAAGAUUCAAUGGAAAGACAACCACUUAGAAGCACAACAAAGCCACCUCUAAAUAGAAAACGGUCACCGUAUGCGGAGAGAUCGAAAGCUAACCUGGAAGUGAGUAUAUGUUUCUGAUUGUGUAUGGAUUCAAUUCUAUACAAGCUCAAGUAUUUUCAGAUGUUCUUUUUCAAUGCAAUUAGAUGUUUUUUUAAAUGACACAUUCGAUGUAAAUAUAAUAGAUAAGUCUAUCAGCAACUAAGAGAAAGGGCCUAAAUCAUCGACUAGCUUUGCAUAAGUUUGUUAGGUUCAU